ensembl:snoRNA
AGCACUUGGGUUUGUUUUUAAUUUUUGUGCAAAGACUUAUAGACAGGUGCAAAACCAAAUCCUCUUUUGCAACCCAGAACUCACUGUUCAGUCUGAGUUUUGAUAUGGAUAAGAAGGAACAUG